UGUCAUUGGUUGCCAUGGGAACACCUGUUCUCACACCACAUUCACCACCAGUCUAAUGUCUAAUUUUAUCAUCAGACACCCUGCCUCUUUUCAUCAUAGAGUUGAUAAUGAGCCUUUAAUGUUUGGUCUUGAGAGAAAUAUAUUUUUCCCCUCUUUUUAGCCCGUAAAAAUGAGCCGUGUUUUUAUUAUCGUCAACUUCUGAAUGACUUUAUAAAGUUUCAAAGAGUUAACCUUGAUGUGUCUCCCAAGGCUUCUAAAGAUGGUUAAUACAGGGGCUUGCCAAGAACCAUGCCUUUAUCUUACAAAUGGAUGUCCUCAACUCUUGGUCCUUUCCACAUUACGUGUACCACUGUUCAGUCAAGAAUUCUUCCGAACUAAAAACAAUUCCACGAAGUCAAUUUCCAUCUGAUCUAUUCACUAUAGUCAGAUGCAAGCCCCUGCCUUCGAUUUUACAUUCCUCUGAAGCCAAAGGAUACGAAAACAUGUCAAAAACACCCUUGUUUCUGAACCACCAGCUGUUUGUAAUACGGUCUUAUUCAGCGAUUGGCUGCUCGUGGAGGGCACCGGUUUCGGGGCUGCCCCGUGGCCUCUUUAAAGCACACCGAGGCAUCUCCAAGCCGGCUUUGUCAAAAGCCAAGGACAUUUUUUCGGCAGAGACUCCGAGCUAGCUGCCACAUAAACAAACAGGAGCUCACUUUGGCUUCCUGGGUUUUUUUGGACUGACAGAAAGUGCUAAGGGGAAGACAGAAGCCAACAGGGCAGCCUGGGGCGACUGGAAGCUCGGGAGGAGGAGGCAGUGGAUUGCUGGCACCGGCUCCCUGCUCAGGGCGAGGCUGUGAAAGUGUGAGCCGUGAACCAACGUCUGGAAAAGCUCUCCGCUGGACAUUUUGCCCUUGGCCCCAAAGGCUGGAUGAUGUCGGGCUGAAGAGAAUCUGCCUUGGAUUCCUCGCCUCUAUUCACGGUGCCAUGCCCGUCAAUCAACCCCGGCCCACCAGCCUGAGGGGAUCUUGUUGACAGACAGUUACUGUGUCAACAGACUCAUUUUGUGAAAUGGAAAUUGGAAGAAGCCUAAAAUAACAGAGCAGAGGAUGGAAACCCAAGCUGCUUUUGCCACAUGCAGCCCAUGCCUGGAGUUACAGAGCACCAAGACUACACACAUGUAAACUGCCAACGGCUACAAUUCCUAUUAAGACAACCUUCAAGUGGCAGUGUUUAUGAACAGAUCUAGAGUCAGAAGCAAGAGAAAGCAAGUCAGCCUCAAGGACCAUGGGCAUUUCUGAGAAGUGAGACAGUUGCCACAUUACUAGAGACUCAUAUGUGGCAUCAUCGGUCGGUGUCUAGGAAAUGAGAUGAGGAAAGGUGCAUGAUGUGGGCAUUGUGACAUAGCACUGUUUGACUACACAAUGAUUGUGUAGAUAAUCACUUUGAAUCUCAAUCUGAUCACUAAUGUAGCUGCUAAGUGACUAAUGGGUGGGUAGAAUACAUAGUGUGGAAGCAAGGUGCCAAAGAAUGAUUUAUGUCCUGGGUGGAAUGGAAUGGGAUAGCUAGGGAUUUUGUGACACUGCUCUGAGUGAUAAUGUUAGGUGUCCUUUCCUGUCACUCUGCACCUUAGUCCCUUGAUACAGAGUCAGUCACUGAAGUUGGCGCUAGGCUGGUGACCAGCAAGCUUCAGGGACAUCCCGUCUCCCCAACCCAGGCCCGUGGUUACGGACGGAAGUAUAAUCAUGCUUGACUUUUCAAAUGAGUUCUGAGGAUUUGAACUCAAGUCCUCGUGCUUGUGAAAUAAGUGUUUUUACCCACUGAACCAUCUCCUUAACUCCUUCAAUAUUUCAUUUCAGGUUUCCAUAGUGCAUUUGAGCAAAAGAGACCUGAAAACAAAGCAACUAAAUAGAUAAAGGGGGUAGAGAACUAUUCUACAGCAGUAAACAAAACUACUACUACUACUACUACUGCUACUACUACUAC